GGGUCAGUAGGUCGGUCGUGCCACUGGUAUGAACUGGUUUUACUGAUUCCUCCCUCUUGAAGAACUGUAAUGCCAUUAAUUUGGUGUUGCGGGGAAUUUGGACUGUAACUUUGAAAAAAUUAGAGUGUUUAAAGCAGGCUUUAGCUUGAAUACAUUAGCAUGGAAUAAUGAAAUAGGACGUUUGAUCCUAUUUUGUUGGUUUCUAGGACCGCCGUA
rnacentral:rRNA from 1 species